UAGAAGGCGCGAGCGCAGCCCCGCCGCCGCGCUGAGCCGAUCAGUCCGCGCCAGCUAUCAAACGAUACGCACGUACCGUCGCGCACACGGGCCAGCCCGUGUCGUCUCGCGCGCUGUACAAAUUAUAAUUUUAAUUAUUUUCUGGUGGGCGCGGACACCUGCAAAUUUAUUUAGUUUAAAUAUAUUCGGCGACGUAAUCGCGAAAUAACGAGCUCCCGCACCCACGUACUGGGUGCGCCGUUAUUUUUAAAAAAGAAGACCGUUCGGCCGACGUGUCACACCGUCACCAGCAUCCACACACACAACAUCCAGACGGCUGGGUUGGAGCCUGAGUCGUUCGCCCGCCGUCGCCCCUGCUCCUCUUCAGCGCUGGCCCCCACACCUGCUGCGGACCACCAUCGUAACCACCAGCCAGGGCAGUACCGCUCCGCGGUGGCAAAUUUUAGACCCGGGCCUUGA